UACGUAGGGUGCAAGCGUUAAUCGGAAUUACUGGGCGUAAAGCGUGCGCAGGCGGUUUUGUAAGUCUGUCGUGAAAUCCCCGGGCUCAACCUGGGAAUUGCGAUGGAGACUGCAAGGCUAGAAUCUGGCAGAGGGGGGUAGAAUUCCACGUGUAGCAGUGAAAUGCGUAGAGAUGUGGAGGAACACCGAUGGCGAAGGCAGCCCCCUGGGUCAAGAUUGACGCUCAUGCACGAAAGCGUGGGGAGCAAACGAGGAUUAGACUACCC
rnacentral:rRNA from 1 species